UCGGACGACCCACUUUCUUAAAUGAGCCUAAGGAGUAUGCUUUGGAUUUAAAAAGGCAUCAGGACAAACCCGAGUCUAACGAAGCAGUAACAAUCGCUGAAUUCGAGCCGGACAGAGUACCUUUCACUUUCACAGCGGGUUCCGGUGACAGAUACUACGAGUUUGCCAAUGAUAGGCUGGACAGUAACCAGUAUUACGGUGUAUUUAUUGUCGGGGUUGUCUAUCUUUCUCCAGGGAAAAAGGUGCAUCUGACUACGGGUUGGGUUGAAGACGCUCAUUCUCCAGGACGACCCACCUAUUUCUUGACGAAGAAGGGAGUAGGGCUUACUGUACCCAUCUUUGUGCUCCUCAGUAUCGUUUGUUACCUUCGGCGGU